UGAAAGUCUAUUGCUGAGUUAGAUUGCUAAUUGGAUGCACAUUUUAUAUCAGGUUAUUUCCUACUAAUCCCUGCUCUUCACUAUUAAUCAGUUGUGGUCAUACUUUGUUAUAUCUUUAUUUCAAUUUCUAAAUUAUUUUUAUUAAGAAAAUAUAAUAGGCUAACAUGAAGAAUGGCUGUAGAAAAACAGUAUCUCUAAUAUUCCCAAUGAGUUGGUUCAUUUUGAAUGAGUAUAGUUUAUAUUUAUGUUACUUUUCUUAUGUUUUUACCUUAACUUCUGUUUGUUGAAAAAUGAACCUGUUACUUUCAAUGAGAAUUUCAAUGUAGAUAAAGUAUACUAUAUUAUUUUUUAUUCAAUUUCCUUCAGUUAGGUUAGGAUUGAAUGAUAAAUGAUUCUAUAGUUUUAGGGAUGAUCAGGUAUAUGUUCCAUCGAAGAAGUCAAGAAACAAGUUGUUAAGAUACUUCAAGAUGUUAGUUUUAUUGUAGAAACCAUCAAGGUAUGCUUACAUAUAGUGCAAAUUUUAUUUUCUUAACAAUAGAAUGUAUCUAUCUCUUUAUACUUUGAUCCAAUUUCUAGUAGUAGAUAUUGGUCUUGGUUUUGAAAUGUUUUCAUAUUAUUUUUGUUCUCAGGAUGACCGUUCUUAUUGGUCUAUCAAAUUCAGGAAAAACGACAAAUUUUAAAGUUGCAGCAAGAAGAAGGUGCUUGCCAUAUUAACUAAAGACACGGGUUGGAGAUUUUAUGCACAACAUGGCUUCAGAAGAAGAGUGCAACAUGCCAUCACUUUUUAGCACUAUAUAUAUUUUUUCUUUGAAAUUUUAGAUAUUUUUCUAAAUAGGUUGUUCGAUUAGUGCUACUAUAAAAGUUAAUGAAGUGAUGGACAUCUUGUUCCAAAUUUUUGGGAUCAUUGAUUUUUUUUAUUAUUAUUAAUAUAUGAUUUUUAUUGUAUUGGAUGUGUUUAAUUGUCAUUAUUUUUAUAUUUCCAAUUA
rnacentral:lncRNA from 1 species